rnacentral:tRNA from 1 species
GGGGUUGUGGCUCAGUGGUAGAGCGCUCGCUUAGCACAUGCAAGGCCCUGGGUUCGAUCCCCAGCACCA